AUUGAACGCUAGCGGGAUGCCUUACACAUGCAAGUCGAACGGAGUGGCGAACGGGUGAGUAAUGUAUAGGAACGUGCCCAGUCGCGGGGGCUAACUACGCGAAAGCGAAGCUAAUACCGAAUACUCUUGGCACGGCAGAUACCGGAGUAGCGUGUUGGUGGGGUAGCGGCUCACCAAGGCGACGAUCCGUAGCUGGGUUGGGAGGACGACCAGCCACACUGGGACUGAGACACGGCCCAGACUCCUACGGGAGGCAGCAGUGGGGAAUUUUGGACAAUGGGGGAAACCCUGAUCCAGCCAUCCCGCGUGUGCGAUGAAGGCCUUCGGGUUGUAAAGCACUUUUGGCAGGGAAGCGGUACCUGCAGAAUAAGCACCGGCUAACUCCGUGCCAGCCGCCGCGGUAAUUC
rnacentral:rRNA from 1 species